UACGUAGGUGACAAGCGUUGUCCGGAUUACUGGGCGUAAAGAGCGCGCAGGCGGUCGAUCAAGUCGAGUGUGAAAGCCCCCGGCUCAACUGGGGGAGGGUCAUUCGAUACUGAUCGACUCGAAGGCAGGAGAGGGUAGUGGAAUUCCCGGUGUAGUGGUGAAAUGCGUAGAUAUCGGGAGGAACACCAGUGGCGAAGGCGACUACCUGGCCUGUUCUUGACGCUGAGGCGCGAAAGCUAGGGGAGCAAACGGGGAUUGAAG
rnacentral:rRNA from 1 species